UACGGAGGGUGCGAGCGUUGUUCGGAAUCACUGGGCGUAAAGGGCGUGUAGGCGGUCCGUUAAGUCUGAUGUGAAAGCCCGGGGCUCACCCCCGGAAGGGCAUUGGAAACUGGCGGACUCGAGUCCCGGAGAGGAGAGUGGAAUUCCUGGUGUAGCGGUGGAAUGCGUAGAGAUCCGGAGGAAGACCGGUGGCGAAGGCGGUCUGCUGGGCAGUUUCUGACACUGAUGCGCGACAGCGUGGGGAGCAAACAGG
rnacentral:rRNA from 1 species